rnacentral:rRNA from 1 species
AACGUAGGUGGCGAGCGUUAUCCGGAUUUACUGGGCGUAAAGCGUGUGCAGGCGGGGAGAUAAGUGGUGUAUGAAAUCGCCCAGCUUAACUGGGCAAGGUUAUGCCAGACUGUCACUCUAGAGUGCGAGAGAGGGGCGUGGAAUUCCGGGUGUAGUGGUGAAAUGCGUAGAGAUCCGGAGGAACCCCAGAGGCGAAGGCGGCGCCCUGGCUCGCAACUGACGCUCAGACACGACAGCAUGGGGAGCGAACGGG